rnacentral:miRNA from 8 species
UACUGCAGGCAGUGGCAAUUAUG